rnacentral:rRNA from 1 species
UACGUAGGGAGCAAGCGUUGUCCGGAAUCAUUGGGCGUAAAGCGCGCGUAGGUGGCCUCGUAAGUCCGCUGUGAAAGUCAAAGGCUCAACCUUUGAAAGCCGGUGGAUACUGUGGGGCUAGAGUACGGAAGAGGCGAGUGGAAUUCCUGGUGUAGCGGUGGAAUGCGCAGAUAUCAGGAGGAACACCAAUAGCGAAGGCAGCUCGCUGGGACGUUACUGACACUGAGGCGCGAAAGCGUGGGUAGCAAACAGG